UGAACUCGCUGUGAAGAUGCAGUGUACCCGCGGCAAGACGGAAAGACCCCGUGAACCUUUACUAUAGCUUGACACUGAACAUUGAGCCUUGAUGUGUAGGAUAGGUGGGAGGCUUAGAAGUGUGGACGCCAGUCUGCAUGGAGCCGACCUUGAAAUACCACCCUUUAAUGUUUGAUGUUCUAACGUUGACCCGUGAUCCGGGUUGCGGACAGUGUCUGGUGGGUAGUUUGACUGGGGCGGUCUCCUCCUAAAGAGUAACGGAGGAGCACGAAGGUUGGCUAAUCCUGGUCGGACAUCAGGAGGUUAGUGCAAUGGCAUAAGCCAGCUUGACUGCGAGCGUGACGGCGCGAGCAGGUGCGAAAGCAGGUCAUAGUGAUCCGGUGGUUCUGAAUGGAAGGGCCAUCGCUCAACGGAUAAAAGGUACUCCGGGGAUAACAGGCUGAUACCGCCCAAGAGUUCAUAUCGACGGCGGUGUUUGGCACCUCGAUGUCGGCUCAUCACAUCCUGGGGCUGAAGUAGGUCCCAAGGGUAUGGCUGUUCGCCAUUUAAAGUGGUACGCGAGCUGGGUUUAGAACGUCGUGAGACAGUUCGGUCCCUA
rnacentral:rRNA from 1 species